UGGGGAAUAUUGGACAAUGGGCGAAAGCCUGAUCCAGCAAUGCCGCGUGAGUGAUGAAGGCCUUAGGGUUGUAAAGCUCUUUUACCCGGGAUGAUAAUGACAGUACCGGGAGAAUAAGCUCCGGCUAACUCCGUGCCAGCAGCCGCGGUAAUACGGAGGGAGCUAGCGUUAUUCGGAAUUACUGGGCGUAAAGCGCACGUAGGCGGCUUUGUAAGUUAGAGGUGAAAGCCUGGAGCUCAACUCCAGAAUUGCCUUUAAGACUGCAUCGCUUGAAUCCAGGAGCGGUGAGUGGAACUUCCGAGUGUAGAGGUGAAAUUCGUAGAUAUUCGGAAGAACACCAGUGGCGAAGGCGGCUCACUGGACUGGUAUUGACGCUGAGGUGCGAAGCGUGGGGAGCAAACAGGAUUAGAUACCCUGGUAGUCCACGCCGUAAACGAUGAUAACUAGCUGUCGGGGCUC
rnacentral:rRNA from 1 species